GACGAACCGGACAAACGUUGUUCGGAAUCACUGGGCGUAAAGCGCGUGUAGGCGGCUUAGCAAGUCGGAUGUGAAAUCCCGAGGCUCAACCUCGGAACUGCACUCGAAACUGCUUGGCUUGAGUCCCGGAGAGGGUGGCGGAAUUCCCGGUGUAGGGGUGAAAUCCGUAGAUAUCGGGAGGAACACCAGUGGCGAAGGCGGCCACCUGGACGGUGACUGACGCUGAGACGCGAAAGCGUGGGGAGCAAACAGG
rnacentral:rRNA from 1 species